GACUAACAUGUCUAUAUUUGAAGUGUAUAAAGCCUUGUCCGGGAGGGUUUGUUAUUGAUAGAUAUGGUUGUCGAACUUGCAUUUGCAAAAGUAAGUGAAUAUUCUAAUCUAUACAUGCAGCUGCAUGAGCGACUGCGUGAGGGACUGCAUGAGCGACUCUAUAACAAACAUACUUGCAACGAGGAGGUGCGUUCAAUCUCGAACCCACCUGCUGACGUAUGUUUAGGAGGUGGGUUCGAGAUCGAUGUUUCAGCGGCGGCCAUUAUGAAGCGAUUCGGAACAAAUUUCAGACGAAGAUUUAAAUAAAAAAUAAAUUAACUGUUUUGAAUUGUUUUAUAAUUAUUAUAUUUUUUAUUUUGUUUGAUGAAAAUGGAAUAUUCUGUAUUCAAAGUGGAUGAAAAGAAAGAUGGCCGCCGAAAUUUGUUCGGCACGGGCAGAUUUAUAUAAAUCGUGGCAUUGUUUUCGCAGAAUGUGUUCAUUUUCUCUUUUCAAAAAUAAGGGAAUAUUGUAGAGAAUUUUUUUAGCUUUAAUUUAAGCCUAAGUUUGUUUGUUUGUUUGCAUGUGUACUAUGUUGGCGGCUAAAAUGUUCGUUAUUCAAACACGAAAUUAUAUACCAAAAAGUAAAAUGCGUAUAAAAUUCUUCAGUACUUUUUAGUAUUUUACCGAAAUGGCAUGUGAUAGAAACCAAACAUACUUGCAAGUUCGGUGAGUCCUUGAUUGGACGCACCUCGGGAAACUUCCAGCCACGCCAAUAGGUGAAAGCCGCUAAUACGCUAGGUAUGAGAUAAAUGGCACAUGCGUGAGCGACUGCAUAUACUUCCAACAGGAGUCGAGUGGUUGUAUAUCAUCGUAUGCAACAUGAUCGUGAAUUACGUACAUAUAUAUAGCUUGUGAUUCGCGAAAGCAAACUACACGUUUAUGUAAAUCAGGAGGAUUUUGUAUAUUAUUGAACAUUCAAUUAUAUGUACUAGUUAAAAUAUGAGCUGCUGAUCUUUCCGGGCAUUUACAAUGGAGAGCGCGCAGCGAGAGCCAUUGUUAAAUGCCUAUAAAGAUCAGUUGCGAAGUCAUUAUGAUUUGUGAGUCUAUGCUAUCCAUGAGUCAGGAUGGAUUAUUACGAUAAAUGUUGUUAUCAAAAUAUCGAUCACAGAUAUUUGAUUAAUAUAUAUACGAUUUCAAAUACUUCCAGUUUUAAUUUGAAUUUUUUUUUUUUUGGGGGGGAAGGCGAAAGCCAUUCCGCCCCCUCCCUUAUAAAAUUUUUGGGUUAGGGUUCCUUGCCCCCCCCCCCUCCCCCCUGCUUCCUACGCUAGUGCAUGCGGUCACUAACUUGUUUAUCCGAGCCUUCCAACAACUCAAAUCUAUAGGGUCUGGGAUAUGCAAUCCACUGGAAAAUGUUUAAAAUCUAAGGUAUUUACAACACAAUGUUUAGCAUUUUUAAAAAGACAUUGAAUUUAAGGAUAAAAGACAGGACAUAAGAUUCACACAAAAUACACCAGGUUAAGUGUAGAUUUACACUGUUCAAGUGGCAUAUUUAACAUCGAAUAAGUGUAUAUUUACACUAUCACAAAGUGUAACAUAACACGGCGUUAUGUUACACUUUGCGAUAGUGUAAAUAUACUUUACGCGCGCCCAAAUGCGGUAAUAUUAUACAUGCACCUUUUUAAUGUAAAUUUACAAGUCUAAAAAUAUGAUGUUUGGUUACUUUACACCAAAAAAGUGUUACCGGAACGCUACAACGUACUACAAUCUUGGACAUAACUGGUUGAGACUAUUUUCCCCCCUACACAAAAUUCGCAUAUUCUUAUGAUAAAUUCCAUGUUGAAUCAUGUUGCCCUUCUCCCCCGCUCCCCCAACUCAAUGUUGAGCUUGUGUCAUGGUACUACCAAUGUUUACAACAUUGAACUGGGGGGGGGGAGGGAGGGGAGGGGGAGACAAAGUUUGUUUUGUCAAUGUUCAAUAACUUUGUAACAUUGCAGUGGCGUAAAUCUUCAGUUAUGGGCCCCCGGUUGAAGUAGUUUGGAGGGCCCCUUAAUUAUACAUCUUCCCCGAAUUUUUUUACAAUGCUAACCCUACGCAUUGAAUUUUGGACGACCAUGAGGAACACGAGGUCCAAAUAUUGCACCAAAUUCUGCAACAAAAUUUGCGAGAGUAUAUUAUAGCUACUGAAUAUAACUAUUACUACAUCAAUUAUAACCCUGUAAACACAGUAAAAACCCCAGCUCCAUUUUCUAUUGAUUAUAAGCAACAGCAACAGCAACAACAACAUAUAGUUCAUGGGGGUGAGAGGUCUUCCCCAGAAAAUUUUGUAAUCUAUAACACGAUAACCUUAAUUCGUGCAUGCAUAUAAGAAAUUUUUGUUAAAAUUUUUGUUAAAAUUUCAACACGGAAGAAUUUGCUGAAUUUUACAAAAAAAAACAUGAUAUUUUUAAAAAUGUGUGUGGCUUCUAUUUAUUUCGGCUUCCAAGAUUAAACAAAACUACAAUUCUAAUUGUGUCCCACCCUAAAAGUUAUCUUUUGAAAAAUAAGGCCUCCUGCUCUCUUCCUCUGUUAAUAAUGAACGGUCCCUUGAAGCAUUGCCCUCUGGGAUAUGUUACUAACAAAUAUUGGGGUAAUCGUUCCAUGUUUCGCGCACCAAUAUAGUAAACGUUACGUAAUGGAUAUAAUAGUGUACUGAAAAGCUAACUGAAUACACAUAUAUAGGCUACACACCCUAACCCUAACCCUAACCUUAAUUAAACCUAACCCCAACCCUAACCCUAACCACUAUGACCUCUAACUACUAACCCCUAACCCUAACUUUUUAAACUUUUUUAACUUUUUUGAAAAUUUAACAUUUUAAACUUUUUUUGCUUUUUAAAACUCUUUUAAAACAUUUUUAAAACUUUUUUAAACCAUGUUUUUGAAAAUCCUGAAAAUCUUUACGCCUUGUGCCAACCUUUUAAAGGAAAAAAGCAACAUAUCUGAUCUAUCUGUAUGAUAUCGAGCACUCUUUAGCAUUUCGUGAACCAAAACACACUCGUUUGGUUCAAGUAUAUUACAUGCAGAUAACACUUUUACGCACUUUGAAAUCGGCUAUUCACGAAUCCAUAUAGAUAUUGGACUCAUUAUAUUUCAACUGACCGAUGCAGCAUUGAAAAUAGGAUAUUUAAUUUAACAAUUAUUCGCCGAAGGCGAAGUGAUUACCGGGGAAUAUUCGCCGAGACGGAGUCGAGGUGAAUAUUCCCCGUUAAUCACCGAGCCUGAGGCGAAUAAUUGUUUUAGUAUUUUUACACAAGUCUUUUGUGUUUUGGGGACUGAAUUUAUUUUAAUUUCGCUUAUUUCUUUAUCAGUAACCUCCACAAAACGGCUAUAGCCGCCAUUUUGAAAAUUUCGGUUUUGUUAUAUUCACCUGUAGGUGAAUAUAACAGCUUAAUACGUCAAAUUUGACCAAUCAAUGUGUAGGAUUUGUAAUGUUCACUUGUGCAAAAAUACUAAGAAUUAAUAGCUGUUUCCUUAACUUAAAAAUAUACUCAUGAAUAUACUUAAUAUACCUCUAUAUAUUGCUGAUUAGUGAUUUUUAUACAUCCGUGUCAAUUUUUUUGGCAGCAAUUUGCCCACUCCUCAAAUGUAAAGCAUGUCGCCCAGGAUUUGGUUAUGUCAACGAUGCAAAAGGAUGUCAAACCUGCAAAUGUGCACGUAAGUUAAAUAAAUCCGCAAAGAGCAGUUCCUUUAAAGAUGUCAUCAUUACGAAUCCUUGUUUACCGAUGUUUGCAAAAUUAAGUCACGUUGUUUUUCAGGUUGCAGGUUUCAAUCCGUACGCCCAGUGGCGUUGAACGCUCAUUGGGUAGGGUUAGUUCAAAAACUAAGGGCCCCCGAC